UACAGGGGUCUCAAGCGUUGUUCGGAAUCACUGGGCGUAAAGGGUGUGUAGGCUGCGUGUUAAGUCAGAUGUGAAAUCCCGGGGCUCAACCUCGGAACUGCAUCCGAUACUGGCAUGCUAGAGAAUUGGAGAGGAGUCUAGAAUUCACGGUGUAGCAGUGAAAUGCGUAGAUAUCGUGAGGAAUACCAAGUGCGAAGGCAGGACUCUGGACAUUUUCUGACGCUGAGACACGAAGGCUAGGGGAGCAAACGGG
rnacentral:rRNA from 1 species